GGUUAAGCGACUAAGCGUACACGGUGGAUGCCCUGGCAGUCAGAGGCGAUGAAGGGCGUGCUAAUCUGCGAUAAGCGCCGGUAAGGUGAUAUGAACCGUUAUAACCGGCGAUACCCGAAUGGGGAAACCCAGUGUGAUUCGUCACACUAUCAUUAACUGAAUCCAUAGGUUAAUGAGGCGAACCGGGGGAACUGAAACAUCUAAGUACCCCGAGGAAAAGAAAUCAACCGAGAUUCCCCCAGUAGCGGCGAGCGAACGGGGAGGAGCCCAGAGCCUGAAUCAGCAUGUGUGUUAGUGGAAGCGUCUGGAAAGGCGCGCGAUACAGGGUGACAGCCCCGUACACAAAAGCGCAUGUGCUGUGAGCUCGAUGAGUAGGGCGGGACACGUGGUAUCCUGUCUGAAUAUGGGGGGACCAUCCUCCAAGGCUAAAUACUCCUGACUGACCGAUAGUGAACCAGUACCGUGAGGGAAAGGCGAAAAGAACCCCGGCGAGGGGAGUGAAAAAGAACCUGAAACCGUGUACGUACAAGCAGUGGGAGCACCCUUUGGGUGUGACUGCGUACCUUUUGUAUAAUGGGUCAGCGACUUAUAUUCUGUAGCAAGGUUAACCGAAUAGGGGAGCCGGAGGGAAACCGAGUCUUAACCGGGCGUUAAGUUGCAGGGUAUAGACCCGAAACCCGGUGAUCUAGCCAUGGGCAGGUUGAAGGUUGGGUAACACUAACUGGAGGACCGAACCGACUAAUGUUGAAAAAUUAGCGGAUGACCUGUGGCUGGGGGUGAAAGGCCAAUCAAACCGGGAGAUAGCUGGUUCUCCCCGAAAGCUAUUUAGGUAGCGCCUCGUGAAUUCAUCUCCGGGGGUAGAGCACUGUUUCGGCUAGGGGGCCAUCCCGGCUUACCAACCCGAUGCAAACUGCGAAUACCGGAGAAUGUUAUCACGGGAGACACACGGCGGGUGCUAACGUCCGUCGUGAAGAGGGAAACAACCCAGACCGCCAGCUAAGGUCCCAAAGUCAUGGUUAAGUGGGAAACGAUGUGGGAAGGCCCAGACAGCCAGGAUGUUGGCUUAGAAGCAGCCAUCAUUUAAAGAAAGCGUAAUAGCUCACUGGUCGAGUCGGCCUGCGCGGAAGAUGUAACGGGGCUAAACCAUGCACCGAAGCUGCGGCAGCGACACUGUGUGUUGUUGGGUAGGGGAGCGUUCUGUAAGCCUGUGAAGGUGUGUCGUGAGGCAUGCUGGAGGUAUCAGAAGUGCGAAUGCUGACAUAAGUAACGAUAAAGCGGGUGAAAAGCCCGCUCGCCGGAAGACCAAGGGUUCCUGUCCAACGUUAAUCGGGGCAGGGUGAGUCGACCCCUAAGGCGAGGCCGAAAGGCGUAGUCGAUGGGAAACGGGUUAAUAUUCCCGUACUUGGUGUUACUGCGAAGGGGGGACGGAGAAGGCUAUGUUGGCCGGGCGACGGUUGUCCCGGUUUAAGCGUGUAGGUGUGUGUUCCAGGUAAAUCCGGUUCACUUUAACACUGAGGCGUGACGACGAGGCACUACGGUGCUGAAGCAACAAAUGCCCUGCUUCCAGGAAAAGCCUCUAAGCAUCAGGUAACAUCAAAUCGUACCCCAAACCGACACAGGUGGUCAGGUAGAGAAUACCAAGGCGCUUGAGAGAACUCGGGUGAAGGAACUAGGCAAAAUGGUGCCGUAACUUCGGGAGAAGGCACGCUGACACGUAGGUGAAGUGAUUUACUCAUGGAGCUGAAGUCAGUCGAAGAUACCAGCUGGCUGCAACUGUUUAUUAAAAACACAGCACUGUGCAAACACGAAAGUGGACGUAUACGGUGUGACGCCUGCCCGGUGCCGGAAGGUUAAUUGAUGGGGUCAGCGCAAGCGAAGCUCCUGAUCGAAGCCCCGGUAAACGGCGGCCGUAACUAUAACGGUCCUAAGGUAGCGAAAUUCCUUGUCGGGUAAGUUCCGACCUGCACGAAUGGCGUAAUGAUGGCCAGGCUGUCUCCACCCGAGACUCAGUGAAAUUGAACUCGCUGUGAAGAUGCAGUGUACCCGCGGCAAGACGGAAAGACCCCGUGAACCUUUACUAUAGCUUGACACUGAACAUUGAGCCUUGAUGUGUAGGAUAGGUGGGAGGCUUUGAAGUGUGGACGCCAGUCUGCAUGGAGCCGACCUUGAAAUACCACCCUUUAAUGUUUGAUGUUCUAACGUGGACCCGUUACCCGGGUUGCGGACAGUGUCUGGUGGGUAGUUUGACUGGGGCGGUCUCCUCCUAAAGAGUAACGGAGGAGCACGAAGGUUGGCUAAUCCUGGUCGGACAUCAGGAGGUUAGUGCAAUGGCAUAAGCCAGCUUGACUGCGAGCGUGACGGCGCGAGCAGGUGCGAAAGCAGGUCAUAGUGAUCCGGUGGUUCUGAAUGGAAGGGCCAUCGCUCAACGGAUAAAAGGUACUCCGGGGAUAACAGGCUGAUACCGCCCAAGAGUUCAUAUCGACGGCGGUGUUUGGCACCUCGAUGUCGGCUCAUCACAUCCUGGGGCUGAAGUAGGUCCCAAGGGUAUGGCUGUUCGCCAUUUAAAGUGGUACGCGAGCUGGGUUUAGAACGUCGUGAGACAGUUCGGUCCCUAUCUGCCGUGGGCGCUGGAGAACUGAGGGGGGCUGCUCCUAGUACGAGAGGACCGGAGUGGACGCAUCACUGGUGUUCGGGUUGUCAUGCCAAUGGCACUGCCCGGUAGCUAAAUGCGGAAGAGAUAAGUGCUGAAAGCAUCUAAGCACGAAACUUGCCCCGAGAUGAGUUCUCCCUGAGACUUAGAGUCUCCUGAAGGAACGUUGAAGACGACGACG
rnacentral:rRNA from 1 species